rnacentral:rRNA from 1 species
AGUGAACGCUGGCGGUAGGCCUAACACAUGCAAGUCGAACGGCCGCACAGUAAGAUCUUGCUCUUACGGGUGGCGAGUGGCGGACGGGUGAGGAAUACAUCAGAUUCUACUUUUUCGUGGGUGAUAACGUAGGGAAACUUACGCUACUACCGCAUACGUCCUACGGGUGAAAGCAGGGGAUCUUCGGACCUUGCGCGAUUGAAUGAGCCGAUGUCGGAUUAGCUAGUUGGCGGGGUAAAGGCCCACCAAGGCAACGAUCCGUAGCUGGUCUGAGCGGAUGAUCAGCCAAACUGGAACUGAGACACGGUCCAGACUCCUACGGGAGGCAGCAGUGGGGAAUAUUGGACAAUGGGCGCAAGCCUGAACCAGCCAUACCGCGUGGGUGAAGAAGGCCUUCGGGUUGUAAAGCCCUUUUGUUGGGAAAGAAAAGCAGCAGGUUAAUACCACGCUGUUCUGACGGUACCAAAAGAAUAAGCACCGGCUAACUUCGUG